rnacentral:rRNA from 1 species
CAAUAAGCGGAGGAAAAGAAACCAACAGGGAUUGCCCUAGUAACGGCGAGUGAAGCGGCAACAGCUCAAAUUUGAAAUCUGGCGUCUUCGGCGUCCGAGUUGUAAUUUGUAGAGGAUGCUUCUGGGCAGCCACCGGUCUAAGUUCUUUGGAACAGGACGUCAUAGAGGGUGAGAAUCCCGUAUGCGACCGGACAGGCACCCUCCACGUAGCUCCUUCGACGAGUCGAGUUGUUUGGGAAUGCAGCUCUAAAUGGGAGGUAAAUUUCUUCUAAAGCUAAAUACCGGCCAGAGACCGAUAGCGCACAAGUAGAGUGAUCGAAAGAUGAAAAGUACUUUGGAAAGAGAGUUAAAAAGCACGUGAAAUUGUUGAAAGGGAAGCGAUUGCAACCAGACUUGCUCGCGGUGUUCAGCCGGUCUUCUGACCGGUCUACUCGCCGCGUUGCAGGCCAGCAUCGUCUGGGGCCGCCGGAUAAGACUCUGGGAAUGUAGCUCCUUCGGGAGUGUUAUAGCCCAGUGUGAUGCGGCGCGUCCCGGGCGAGGUCCGCGCUUCGGCUAGGAUGCUGGCGUAAUGGUCGUAAUCGGCCCGUCUUGAAACACGGACCAAGGAGUCUAGCAUCUAUGCGAGUGUUCGGGUGUCAAACCCCUACGCGUAAUGAAAGUGAACGGAGGUGGGAACUUUUUGUGCACCAUCGACCGAUCCUGAUGUCUUCGGAUGGAUUUGAGUAAGAGCAUAGCUGUUGGGACCCGAAAGAUGGUGAACUAUGCCUGAAUAGGGUGAAGCCAGAGGAAACUCUGGUGGAGGCUCGCAGCGGUUCUGACGUGCAAAUCGAUCGUCAAAUUUGGGUAUAGGGGCGAAAGACUAAUCGAACCAUCUAGUAGCUGGUUCCUGCCGA